CAAAGAUCCCCUAGUACGGCGAGUGAAGCGGGAAGAGCACAAAUUUAAAAUCUACCUGGUUUUCAGGUCGAGUUGUAAUUUGAAGAUACGUUUUUGACGUUCCGGGUUGGACUAAAUCCUUUGGGAUAAGGUAUCAUGGAGGGUGAGAAUCCCGUAUAUACCAACCAUAGGGAUGUUAUUUAAUACCUUUCUAAGAAUCGAGUUGUUUGGGAAUGCAGCUCYAAAUGGGUGGUAAAUUUCACCYAAUGCUAAAUAUAAGCGAGAGACCGAUAGCGAACAAGUACAGUGAUGGAAAGAUGAAAAGAACUUUGAAAAGAGAGUUAAAUAGUACGUGAAAUUGUUGAAAGGGAAACGAUUGAAGUCAGUCAUGCCNGUGGGAAUCAACUUAGAGGAAACUCUGAGUGCACUUCUUCGCUUGGCAGGNCAACGNCGAUUUUGGAUGUCAUAAAAUGAUUGGGGGAAGGGAGCYCCYUCGGGAGUGUUAUACCCCYUGGNAAAUGUGAUGYCYGGGAUCGAGGAUUGCAAUGGAUACCCNUUGGAGCUAGCCGCCNGAUCUCUAAUUGGUAUUGRGUUACGGANAGCAUGCUGACCGUGAUCUAAUUAUUGGUUAAAAGGUUAAAGCGGGCAUAAAUUCCUUAAGGACNUNGACNUAAUGGCUUUAAACNACCCCNCNUGAAACC
rnacentral:rRNA from 1 species